rnacentral:misc_RNA from 1 species
GAUGAAGAACGCAGCAAAAUGCGAUAAGUAAUGUGAAUUGCAGGAUUCAGUGAAUCAUCGAAUCUUUGAACGCACAUUGCGCCCGCUGGUAUUCCGGCGGGCAUGCCUGUUCGAGCGUCAUUUCAACCCUCAAGCCCCCGGGUUUGGUGUUGGGGAUCGGCUCUGCCCUUCUGGGCGGUGCCGCCCCCGAAAUACAUUGGCGGUCUCGCUGCAGCCUCCAUUGCGUAGUAGCUAACACCUCGCAACUGGAACGCGGCGCGGCCAUGCCGUAAAACCCCAACUUCUGAAUGUUGACCUCGGAUCAGGUAGGAAUACCCGCUGAACUUAAGCAUAUCAAUAAGCGGAGGA